AAUAGCCCAGGCACCCAAGUGCUGGCUUGCAGCAGUGUUUCCAUCAGCCCUGCCUUCUUAAAACUGCUUUUCCCCAUCUGACACUGUCUAAUGUUUCCCCUCCUACUCAAGCCUCCUCCUCCCCUGGCCCAUUCUAUCCCAGUUAGUUGGCAGAGAGAAUUGCAAGACAUCAUCUGUAAGGCAAAGACACAGACUGCGAAAGUGGGAGAGAAGGACUGGAAUAAAAAAAAAAACCCUGCUUCU